CUAAAGGCUCUUUUUAGAGCCACCCACAUCUUCAGUAAAAGGGCUU
rfam:Equus caballus chromosome 20, whole genome shotgun sequence.